UAAUAGGGUCAUAUUACAGGCGCCCUUCGGGGCUUAAAAGGGAAGCCGGUGCAAGUCCGGCAUGGUCCCGCCGCUGUAACCGGGGACGAUACCUGCGAGAUACCACUGCCCGUGCUGAAGCCGGGUGGGAAGGUGCAGGAAUAAGGAUGAUCCGGGAAUCAGAAGACCUGCCUGUAAAUCAAUAUGUAU
rnacentral:ncRNA from 2 species